rnacentral:rRNA from 1 species
AUUGAACGCUGGCGGCAGGCCUAACACAUGCAAGUCGAGCGGAUGAAGGGAGCUUGCUCCUGGAUUCAGCGGCGGACGGGUGAGUAAUGCCUAGGAAUCUGCCUGGUAGUGGGGGAUAACGUCCGGAAACGGGCGCUAAUACCGCAUACGUCCUGAGGGAGAAAGUGGGGGAUCUUCGGACCUCACGCUAUCAGAUGAGCCUAGGUCGGAUUAGCUAGUUGGUGGGGUAAAGGCCUACCGAGGCGACGAUCCGUAACUGGUCUGAGAGGAUGAUCAGUCACACUGGAACUGAGACACGGUCCAGACUCCUACGGGAGGCAGCAGUGGGGAAUAUUGGACAAUGGGCGAAAGCCUGAUCCAGCCAUGCCGCGUGUGUGAAGAAGGUCUUCGGAUUGUAAAGCACUUUAAGUUGGGAGGAAGGGCAGUAAGUUAAUACCUGGCUGUUUUGACGUUACCAACAGAAUAAGCACCGGCUAACUUCGU